AACGAACGCUGGCGGCAUGCCUAAUACAUGCAAGUCGAACGAUCACUGCGGUGGUAGUGGCGCACGGGUGCGUAACGCGUGGGAAUCUGCCCUUGGGUUCGGAAUAACAUCUGGAAACGGAUGCUAAUACCGGAUGAUGACGUAAGUUCAAAGAUUUAUCGCCCAGGGAUGAGCCCGCGUAGGAUUAGCUAGUUGGUGGGGUAAAGGCCUACCAAGGCGACGAUCCUUAGCUGGUCUGAGAGGAUGAUCAGCCACACUGGGACUGAGACACGGCCCAGACUCCUGCGGGAGGCAGCAGUAGGGAAUAUUGGACAAUGGGGGCAACCCUGAUCCAGCAUUGCCGCGUGAGUGAUGAAGGCCUUAGGGUUGUAAAGCUCUUUUACCCGGGAUGAUAAUGACAGUACCGGGAGAAUAAGCCCCGGCUAACUCCGUGCCUGCCGCCGCAGUAA
rnacentral:rRNA from 1 species